rnacentral:rRNA from 1 species
AGCGAACGCUGGCGGCAUGCCUAACACAUGCAAGUCGCACGGGGGGGCUUCGGCCUCCCAGUGGCGGACGGGUGAGGAACGCGUAGGGACCUGUCGAGGGGUGGGGGAUAACCGCGGGAAACUGCGGCUAAUACCGCAUGACGCCGCGGCGUGACAGCCGGGGCCAAAGGCGAAAGCCGCCCGCCGAGGGGCCUGCAUCCGAUUAGCUGGUUGGCGGGGUAGCGGCCCACCAAGGCGUCGAUCGGUAGCUGGUCUGAGAGGGUGAUCAGCCACACCGGGACUGAGACACGGCCCGGACUCCUACGGGAGGCAGCAGUGGGGAAUAUUGGACAAUGGGCGCAAGCCUGAUCCAGCAAUGCCGCGUGGGUGAAGAAGGUCUUCGGAUUGUAAAGCCCUUUCGGCGGGGACGAUGGUGACGGUACCCGCAGAAGAAGCCCCGGCUAACUUCGUG